AUGACUGGUGACAAGAACCUAUUGAUGGAUGUUCCCUUAUCUCCAUCACAUCUGAAGCAUAUCAUCUUCGCUGACAAAGGCAAAAGCAAGGUAUUGGGUCUAGGUAAGGUUGCGGUCACAAAGGAUCGUCAUAUGGACAAAGUCGUGCUUGUCGAGUCCUUAGGAUACAACCUCAUGUCAGUCUCAAUGCUUUGUGAUCUUGAUAUGGUUGUUAUGUUUGGCAAGUAUCAUUGUGUUGUGAUCAUGGAAGGUGACAAUUCCAAAGUCUUCGAAGGCUUUAGGAGAGGAAAUCUGUAUAUUGUUGAUUUCUCUACAGGACCACAACCAGCUAUAUGUCUACUUGCAAAAGCUUCAGAAGGCUGGCUAUGGCAUCGACGACUUGGUCAUGCUGGCAUGAGGAAUUUGCACACGCUCGCGAAGAAGAAGCAUGUCAUUGGCAUUAAGAAUGUCAAAUUCCUCAAGGAUCACUUGUGCGGAGCCUGUGAAACUGGAAAGAUGACCAAGGCCAAACAUCCAGCGAAAACUAUCAUGACUACCACUCGACCAUUUGAAUUGCUUCACAUGGAUCUCUUUGGUCCUAAUCAUUAUUCAGCAGUUACAAAUGAUGCAUCUCUAUAUGGCUUUGUUAUUGUUGAUGAUUACUCUCGUUACACAUGGGUGCAUAUUGUCACAUACAAACAUGAGGUGCAGGAAGUCUUCAAACGAUUUUCCUCGAGGGCAUCAACCAACUUCGGUGUGAAGAUCAAGCACAUCAGAAGUGGCAAUGGAACUGAGUUCAAGAAUUCUGGUCUUGAUGACUAUCUUGAUGAACUUGGUAUUACUCAUGAGUUAUCUGCUCCUGAUACUCCUCAGCAGAAUGGCGUCGUGGAGCGCAAGAAUAGGACUCUUGUUGAGAUGGCUCGCACUAUGCUUGAUGAGUACAAGACACCUCGUUGUUUCUGGACUGAGGCAAUUGAUACUGCGUGCCACAUCAUCAACAGGGUAUAUCUUCACAAAUUCUUCAAGAAGACUGCAUACGAACUCCUCACUGACAAGAAACCCAAUGUGAGUUAUUUCAAAGUCUUCGGUGCUAAAUGUUGGAUUAGAGAUCCUCAUCACAAUUCUAAAUUUGCACCAAAAGCACAUGAAGGUUUUAUGCUUGGUUACGGAAAGGACUCGCACACCUACAGAGUCUUCAACAACGUUCACCACAAGGUUGUUGAAACUGUAGAUGUGCCGUUCGAUGAAACUAAUGGCUCGCAAAGAGAGCACCUACCUCCUGUGCUAGAUGAAAAAUCGCUUGAGGAAUCCAUCAAGUUCAAGGCUACUGAGGAUGUCAUUCCGACCGAAGAAUCUGUUGAAGAAGUCAUCCCAGAACGUGAAGAACGUCAUGCUGAUGCAUCUAAGGAAAAUGACGCUGAAAAAAUGCUGAUCAAAUUCCUCAACGACAACCAGCUCAUCCUCGCGUUGCAAAUGAAGUGCAGAUUGAGAAAAUCAUCAGCGACAUCAACAUUCCAGGUCCUCUCACACGCUCAAGAGCUUCACAUUUAUCUAACUUUUGUGGGCACUUUGCUUUUGUCUCUAUCUCAGAGCCCACUAAGGUAG
rnacentral:rRNA from 1 species